UUAUCUUUUAUGUAUGAAAAUUGAAAGUUUGGAAUGAACUCUUCCCUCCUUAGCUACUCCACUGUUUGUUUGUUGGGGCAGAAAUUUCCACUUUACUUCCAUUUUCCGUUUGUGUGUUGUGGCAAUGGAAUCUGCACUGAUAUUUCUGGGAACUGGAAGUUCAGGGUCGAUUCCCUCGAUGAGGUGCCUCAUCGACCCUUCAGAUCCUCCAUGCUCCGUCUGCGCUCAAUCUCUCUCCCUCCCACCUCAUCUCAACUCUAAUUACAGGUGCAAUACCUCUCUGUUAAUCCAAUCUUACUCUGAAGCCGACGCCACUCACAAAUAUAUAUUGAUUGAUGCUGGCAAGACCUUCAGGGAGGCUGUGCUUAGGUGGUUUGUUUUCCAUAGCAUUCCAAGAGUAGAUUCUAUUCUUUUGACUCAUGAGCAUGCUGAUGCAGUCCUUGGAUUGGAUGAUAUACGUGCUGUGCAGCCGUUUAGUCCCACAAAUGAUAUUGAUCCCACUCCCGUUUACUUAACUCAGCAUUCUAUGGAUAGCAUGGAAAGGGUGUUUCCUUAUUUGGUUCAGAAAAAACACAGAGAAGGGCAAGAAAUACGAAGGGUAGCUCAGUUUUGCUGGAACAUAAUUGCUGAUGAUUGUAAUCAGCCAUUUUUUGCGUCAGGCUUGAAAUUGACUCCUUUGCCAGUAAUGCAUGGAGAAGAUUAUAUCUGUUUGGGUUUUCUUUUUGGUGAGAAAAAUAGGGUGGCUUAUAUAUCUGAUGUUUCACGGAUUCCGGCUAAUACAGAGUAUGUCAUUUCAAAAAGUGGGGCUGGACAGUUGGAUCUUCUUAUAUUGGAUGCAUUGAGAAAGACUGGAUCACAUAACGUUCACUUUUGUCUUCCACAGGCUCUUGAAACUGUUAAGAGGUUAUGUCCAAAGCAAACCUUAUUGAUUGGAAUGACUCACGAGUUUGAUCACCACAAGGACAAUGAAUUUUUAAUGGAGUGGUCCAGAAGGGAAGGACUAUCGGUGCAGCUUGCUCACGAUGGUUUAAGAGUGCCCAUAAACUUAUAGUAAGAAAUCAAUUACUCUCAAAUCAUAUUUGAGGGUAUUUCCACGUGUUUACGACUAAAAUCAUUCAAGAGAUCUAGCAACGCAAUCUUGAAGGGUAAUGCGCAUGAUAUAUUUUCAAAAUUGGAGAACAUUGAAAUAUUUUCAAGAUAAUCCCGUGCUUCUACAACAAUCUGAGGACUCAAUAUUCAUGCCCAAAAAUAAGAAAUUCAGUUUUAUACAUGAGAAGGAUGAUGACCUCUUGUGAUGUCUUGUAUUCCCUAUGUUUCUAAUUAAAUUUUACGAAGAACGUAAUCUUCACCUCGAUGCUGAAACAAAUUUUAGACAGUAACUAGAGUUAUGAAGUUAAAUAAAAUGUGAUGACCAAGAUUUUUGUGGUCUAUCAUGCGUGUUGACUGAUUUUGGAUGCCAUCCAUGACGUUAACACGUGAGGAACUGGUGUGGUGUGUGGGUCUACACUCGUGAACAUCUUGGAACUUUACAAAACUUUCUAUUAA